CAAUAUUCGUGUAGCCAGCUGCCUUCGCAAUUGGUGUUCUAUGUCAUAUCUAAGCAUUUCACCGCUACAUGACAUAUUCCGCUGACCUCCACGGUAUUCAAGAUUAAUAGUAUCAAUGGCAGUUUCCAAGUUAAGCCUGGAGAUUUCACCACUGACUUACUAAUCCACCUACGCACCCUUUAAACCCAGUGAAUCCGGAUAACGCUUGCACCCUCCGUAUUACCGCGGCUGCUGGCACGGAGUUAGCCGGUGCUUAUUCAUCUGGUACCGUCAACCACCCAAGAAAAGGUGGGUUUCUUCCCAGAUAAAAGAAGUUUACAAUCCAGAGGACCUUCAUCCUCCACGCGGCAUGGCUGGUUCAGACUUGCGUCCAUUGACCAAUAUUCCUUACUGCUGCCUCCCGUAGGAGUCGGGCCCGUGUCUCAGUGCCCGUGUGUCUGGUCGUGCUCUCACACCAGUUACUGAUCGUAGGUUUGGUGGGCCGUUACCCCGCCAACUGCCUAAUCAGCCGCACACCCAUCUUUAAGCGCCGGAGCUAUAAUAAUAAAGUGAUGCCACCUCAUUAUAUUACGGGGUAUUAAUCCGGGUUUCCCCGGGCUAUUCCCCACUUAAAGGAAGGUUGUGUACGUGUUCCGCACCCGUUUGCCGGUCGCCAGCAACUGUAUUGCUACAGUCCUGCUGCCCCACGACUUGCAUGUAUUAAGCCUGCCGCUAGCGUUCAUCCUGAGCCAGGAUCAAACUC
rnacentral:rRNA from 1 species